rnacentral:misc_RNA from 1 species
UUGGAAAAUUCUUAACCUGUUGAAGGAUUCAUAUCUCCGCUCCCUCAGUCCCCUCUGAAAUAGCACCUUGAACUGAUGCCACCAGCUUGUGCACCAUUGCUGUGACAUUGUAUCAAUUCUUGUCGAGGCAUCUUUUGUAUAACUAUAGCUAUUGACAUCCAAAUUGCAAAGCUCAGCUUUGAGUCGUGUGGAAAUAUUCCUCUCAUAACCAGAAAGGAGAGCCUCCUUUAUCAACUUCUGUUCUUGUUCCAUGUUCUCUCCUUGUUCAG